rnacentral:ncRNA from 1 species
CUUAAUUUGACUCAACACGGGGAAACUUACCAGGUCCAGACAUAGUAAGGAUUGACAGACUGAGAGCUCUUUCGAAAUUUUUUUUUUUCGAGGUGAAUGUGAAUCUUUAUUCCAAGUAAACAAAAUAAUACAUGAUACACUAGGGCAUACCCUAGGAUG